rnacentral:rRNA from 1 species
CGGCCCACCAAGGCGACGACGGGUAGCCGGCCUGAGAGGGCGACCGGCCACACUGGGACUGAGACACGGCCCAGACUCCUACGGGAGGCAGCAGUGGGGAAUAUUGCGCAAUGGGCGAAAGCCUGACGCAGCGACGCCGCGUGGGGGAUGAAGGCCUUCGGGUUGUAAACCCCUUUCACCAGGAGCGAAAUCAGACGGUACCUGGGGAAGAAGCGCCGGCUAACUACGUGCCAGCAGCCGCGGUAAUACGUAGGGCGCAAGCGUUGUCCGGAUUUAUUGGGCGUAAAGAGCUCGUAGGCGGCCUGUCGCGUCCGCUGUGAAAUCCUGGGGCUUAACCCCGGGCGUGCAGUGGAUACGGGCUGGCUAGAGGCAGGCAGGGGAGAACGGAAUUCCCGGUGUAGCGGUGAAAUGCGCAGAUAUCGGGAGGAACACCGGUGGCGAAGGCGGUUCUCUGGGCCUGUUCUGACGCUGAGGAGCGAAAGCGUGGGGAGCGAACAGGAUUAGAUACCCUGGUAGUCCACGCCGUAAACGUUGGGCGCUAGGUGUGGGUCCCUUCCACGGGGUCUGUGCCGCAGCUAACGCAUUAAGCG